rnacentral:rRNA from 1 species
UACGGGAGGCAGCAGUGGGGAAUAUUGCACAAUGGGGGAAACCCUGAUGCAGCAACGCCGCGUGAAGGAAGAAGGCUUUCGGGUUGUAAACUUCUUUGAUCAGGGACGAAACAAAUGACGGUACCUGAAGAACAAGCCACGGCUAACUACGUGCCAGCAGCCGCGGUAAU